rnacentral:rRNA from 1 species
AAAUAUUUACUUGCUUGUAUAAAUUAUGUAAAAUAAAGGAGUAAGAAAAGUAAUUUUGAAGUAAAUAGAGUUUAGUAUUAUAAAAGAAAUAUGAUAUGACAGGCUUUAGUUGAAUAGUAUUGUAGAAGAAAGUUUAAAUAAGUGUUAAAAGGUAAUUGAUGAAAAGUAUAAAUUAAAGUUAGUACCUUGUGUAUCAGGGGGUAUUAAAAUAUUAAAUAGAAUUAUUGCGUUCCCGAAAGAAGAAUAGCUAAUAUAGUAAGUUUGUUUUAGUUUCAAAUAGAUUUAUAAUACUAUAGUAGUGGUGAAAUAUCAAGCGGGUCUUUUAUUAUCUGGUUUUCUUAAAAAUGAAUUCAAUUCAGCUGCUUAAAAUAAUAACUGUUUAUGUAGUAAAUAAUAGGAGGGGAAAGCUUCUUAUUAAUAAUUUUAUUAUAACAACAAUAAAAAAAUAAAUUCAAACUAGGCUUAAAAGUAGCCAUGUUAAUAAAGUGUUAUAACUAAGACUUAGGUUACAGCCAUUUAAAUAAUGUUUAAUAAAACUAUGAGAAUACAUUAAAAAAUUGAAAAUUGAGGGUAAAAAUGAUAUCAUUAGUAUAGAAGUUAUGUGAGUAGGGUAAAUUAAAAUAGUAAGUAAACUUAAAAUUGAAGAAAAAGAUGACUUUAAGGAACUCGGCAAAUUUAACUUUUGCCUGUUUAUCAAAAACAUGUCUUUGCGUAUCGAUUUAUGUAAAGUCUGGCCUGCCCAAUGAUGGAAAUUUAAUGGCCGCGGUAUAUUGACCGUGCGAAGGUAGCAUAAUAAUUUGUCUUUUAAUUGAGGACUAGUAUAAAUGGUCGAACAAAAAGUUAGCUGUCUCUGAGUUAUGUCUUGAAUUUAACAUUUAAGUGAAAAGGCUUAAAUAAUUUAAGGGGACGAUAAGACCCUAUAAAUCUUUAUAUUAAUUUGUUGUUAAAUUGGAAAGUAGAAUUAAUUCCGGGUUUAAUAAUUUUGAAUAUUUUGUUGGGGAGACAGAAGUGUAAAUAAAUAACUACUUUAAAAAAAAAAGUUAAUGAUAUUUAAUGAGGAGAUCCUUUACUAAGGAUUGUAGAAUAAGUUACUUUAGGGAUAACAGCGUAAUUUCUUUUGAGAGUCCAUAUCGAAAAGGAAGCUUGCGACCUCGAUGUUGAAUUAAAGAUCCUAUAAUGGCGCAGAAGUUAUAAAAGGAGGUCUGUUCGACCUUUAAAUCUUUACAUGAUUUGAGUUCAGACCGGCGUAAGCCAGGUCGGUUUCUAUCUCUUAAAAUUAAAAGAUUUUUCUUAGUACGAAAGGAUUAGAAAAAUGUAAUAAUUGCUUUUAUGAAGUUUGUGUAGGUUAUCUUGGCAGAAAAAUGUCUUAGGUUUAGGACCUAAUUAUAUAGUGA